rnacentral:piRNA from 1 species
UAUCUUACAUAUAGGGCUGUA